GCUUAGGAGGAUUUGGAUAAGCAGACAUAAAAGAGUUCUAUUCUAAUGAUUCACAAUCUUCAACCUUUGUCCUUUACUUUGAAAAACAAUCAAAAGGAGCAGAAGACUGACUUGGUCUUCUCAGCCAUUCAUUCUCUGACAAAGACUCCAUCAUGGAUCAAUAAGUGGCA